UACGUAGGUGGCUAGCGUUGUCCGGAUUUACUGGGCGUAAAGCGCGCGUAGGCGGUCGUUCAAGUCGAGUGAAAGCCCCCGGCUCAACUGGGGAGGGUCACUCGAUACUGAUCGACUUGAAGGCAGAAGAGGGAAGCGGAAUUCCCGGUGUAGUGGUGAAAUGCGUAGAUAUCGGGAGGAACACCAGUGGCGAAGGCGGCUUUCUGGUCUGUUCUUGACGCUGAGGCGCGAAAGCUAGGGUAGCAAACGGG
rnacentral:rRNA from 1 species